rnacentral:misc_RNA from 1 species
UUUUUUUAUAUCUUAGUCUCGUUGGUGACCAGCGGAGGGAUCAUUACAGAGUUGUCCAACUCCCAAACCCAUGUGAACAUAUCUCUUUGUUGCCUCGGCGCAAGCUACCCGGGACCUCGCGCCCCGGGCGGCCCGCCGGCGGACACACCAAACUCUGUUAUCUUCGUUGAUUAUCUGAGUGUCUUAUUUAAAGUCAAAACUUUCAACAACGGAUCUCUUGGUUCUGGCAUCGAUGAAGAACGCAGCGAAAUGCGAUAAGUAAUGUGAAUUGCAGAAUUCAGUGAAUCAUCGAAUCUUUGACGCACAUUGCGCCAUUAGUAUCUAGUGGGCAUGCUGUUCGAGCGUCAUCAACCCUAGCACAGCUAUGUGGCGUCUACGCUGAGUGCUCAAGAAUGGCGGGCGGAGUGUCUCGACGUAUAUCGUACUCCUUUGUAGGGUGGCCCGCGAAACCCAUUUCGUGCCGAAGUGGAUCCGUGCUACAACUGCGGAGAUUUAGGGAGGGGAGGGGAAGUGAGGGGGGAGUGCGGUGUGUGUGUGGGGGUGUUGUCGUGUAAAGGUGCGGCCAGGGGAGAUGACAUUGGGGGGGGUGGGGGGGGAGUUGUUUGGUGCUGAAGAGGGCGAGAGGGGGCGCGAGGGGUGGGUGGGGUGGCAAAGGUGUUUAUUUUAUAUGAGCAAGAGGAGAGGAAGGAGGGUCUGAGGAGA